AUGGGAAUGUCUCAGAGAACAGAGUGCAGGGGGAAUGCUGUAGUGGAUCAGGGGGGAAAUAAGCAAAAGCAAAAACAAGAGAAAGACAAAGGAAGGUAUAGAGAAGAAGGGAAAAGAAAAUAUGGAAAGAUGUGGGGAACUGGAGAUCAAGAAGGAUUAGACAAAGAAGUGUGGGGAGUAAGACGUAACAAAGACCAGAGAAGGGAUCAUGCACAUGAACCAAGUGAGGAAGACUGGGAGAAGGAACAUGGAACACAAAGAAAUAGAGAUGAAGAGUUGAGUGGCAAAGGAUGGGGAAGAGAAUCCAGAGAAGGUCCAAGAGAAGAGGAAAGUCAAGCUCAAGACGGACAAACCACUUUGGAGCUAAAAGAAAGAGAUCAGAAAGUCUCAGAGAGACAAUGGAAAGCAACCAUGGAAGACAUAUGUGGAAAUGUCCAAGAGCUGGAUGGUCAGGAACAGGACUUAAGAGAUCAAGGGAAAGGAAAGAGAGGACAGAAUAGUCAAAAAUGGGAAGCAGAGUAUGGAGACGUUAAAGGACAAAUUGAACACAAGCACUCUGAAGGAAGACAGGAAGAACAACCCAAGGGAGAGGAACAAGAAAUAGAAUGUGGAAGAUGCAAGACAAGAGAAAAUGUCAAAAAUCAGAAAGAAGACAUUGGAAAAAGUCCGGAAGAAGAAGGUGGAGGAGCCCUGAAUGUGGAUAAUGGAAUGAGUGACACAAAAGAUGCAGCAGAAUCUGAUUGGGAAAGACCAUGGGAAAAAGGGAGUGAAAGGACGAAUGCAAAAGAAGACCCAAAGGGGAAACAUUGGGCAAAAUUACACAGAGGAGAAUUAGAAGGAGAAGACUGGGUAAAAGAGGAUGAAGAAAGCCUAAAACACCUAGGGGGAGACAGAGGAAAGAUGAAAGGAAAAGAAAGUGGUUUAGAAUGGGAAGUCACCAUAGAGAAACAUGGGGAAAGUUCAUUGAAUAUAAAAUAUAGAAAAGAAGAAGAAAUAGGAAAUGAGAGAGGGAAAGAAAGAAAAGAAGAAAUGCAUAGAGAAUUAGAAGAAGAUUGUCAAAAAAUUGACAACGGGGAGAAAUUGGAAUUCAGUGCUGGUCAAGAAGAAAUAUUCUGGGGAACUGAAGUCCAGGGGCAACUGGAAAGACAGGAAAGUCAGGAAAGCUCUGAGGAAGAGCAGAAAUAUCGGGCAAGAGAAGACGGAACUGCCCAAAGACUAGAACAAGACAACAGAGAAAGGGUGUCAGCACAGGACUGGGAAGGAGACUGCUGA
rnacentral:lncRNA from 1 species